AGAGUUUGAUCAUGGCUCAGAACGAACGCUGGCGGCAUGCCUAAAACAUGCAAGUCGAACGGGUGUAGCAAUACACCAGUGGCAGACGGGUGCGUAACACGUGGGAACCUGCCCAGAGGUUCGGAAUAGCUGCGGGAAACUGCAGGUAAUACCGAAUGUCGCCUGAGGGCUAAAGGAGCAAUUCGCCUUUGGAGGGGCCCGCGUCCGAUUAGCUAGUUGGUGAGGUAACGGCUCACCAAGGCUACGAUCGGUAGCUGGUCUGAGAGGAUGACCAGCCACACUGGAACUGAGAUACGGUCCAGACUCCUACGGGAGGCAGCAGUUGGGAAUAUUGGACAAUGGGGGAAACCCUGAUCCAGCAAUGCCGCGUGGGUGAUGAAGGCCUUCGGGUUGUAAAGCCCUUUUGGCGGGGACGAUGAUGACGGUACCCGCAGAAUAAGCCCCGGCUAACUUCGUGCCAGCAGCCGCGGUAAUACGAAGGGGGCUAGCGUUGUUCGGAAUUACUGGGCGUAAAGGGCGCGUAGGCGGCUGUGCAAGUCAGGUGUGAAAGCCCUGGGCUCAACCCAGGAUGUGCACUUGAUACUGCGCGGCUAGAGUGUCGGAGAGGAUGGUGGAAUUCCCAGUGUAGAGGUGAAAUUCGUAGAUAUUGGGAAGAACACCGGUGGCGAAGGCGACCAUCUGGACGACAACUGACGCUGAGGCGCGAAAGCGUGGGGAGCAAACAGGAUUAGAUACCCUAGUAGUCC
rnacentral:rRNA from 1 species